rnacentral:rRNA from 1 species
UACGUAGGGCGCAAGCGUUGUCCGGAAUUAUUGGACGUAAAGAGCUCGUAGGCGGUUUGUCGCGUCUGCUGUGAAAUCCCGAGGCUCAACCUCGGGCUUGCAGUGGGUACGGGCAGACUAGAGUGCGGUAGGGGAGACUGGAAUUCCUGGUGUAGCGGUGGAAUGCGCAGAUAUCAGGAGGAACACCGAUGGCGAAGGCAGGUCUCUGGGCCGCAACUGACGCUGAGGAGCGAAAGCCAUGGGGGAGCGAACAGG